rnacentral:rRNA from 1 species
UACGAAGGGGGCUAGCGUUACUCGGAUUGACUGGGCGUAAAGGGCGCGUAGGCGGUUCGUACAGUCAGACGUGAAAUUCCUGGGCUCAACCUGGGGGCUGCGUUUGAUACGUGCGGGCUUGAGUUCGGAAGAGGGUCGUGGAAUUCCCAGUGUAGAGGUGAAAUUCGUAGAUAUAUGGAAGAACAUCAAUAACGGCGAAGGCAGUUAACUAUUCUGUUACUGACGUUGAGGCACGAAAGCGUGGGGAGCAAAAAGG